UACGUAGGGGCAAGCGUUGUCCGGAUUUAUUGGGCGUAAAGAGCGUGUAGGCGGCCAGACAGGUCAGCUGUGAAAACUCGAGGCUCAACCUCGAGACGUCGGUUGAAACCGGUCUGGCUAGAGUCCGGAAGAGGAGAGUGGAAUUCCCGGUGUAGCGGUGAAAUGCGCAGAUAUCGGGAGGAACACCGGUGGCGAAGGCGGCCUUCUGGACAGCAACUGACGGCUGAGACGCGAAAGCGUGGGGAGCAAACAGG
rnacentral:rRNA from 1 species